AAAGUGUCUAAGCCAGAUGUAAAAAUAUUAUUACCAAGUUGUUGUGAUUCACCAUCUGAUAGUGGCGGUCCACCGGCGAGAAGACUUGUCCAAAGCCAUACAUUCCUAGCUGCUGCAAUGAGGGGUGCGGAUGCUCUUUGUGGCUGUGCUAGAAGAAUAUUGUAUCUCCUCAUCCGCAACUGAUGGAGAGCAUUAGAAAAAUCCCGAUCACCAGAAAUUAACAAAUAAUUAGCAGGAGCAGGAUUGUCCACUGCCCAGAACAACAUAUCCACGAGAAUCUUCUUGUCACUGGCAUCUUUAACACCAGCGGGAACGUGAUUGAGUGCGAUGCCGGUACUAGACAGAGCCUGCUGGACAGCUGAGUUAAUCCGAUUGGUAUCCCCAUAGGCAGAAAUAGAAACCGGCCCACAAUAAUUCAUCUUCGCCAAAGCAGAGCUUAUGUUCUGAGCUAUGGCAUGUGGGUCGCAUUCUCUGGGUACCUGGCAAUUCUCUAUAUCCCACCACACCGAGGUCUUCGCCGUAACAUACUGCGCCUCCGCUCUUCCACCACCCAUAAUUUCUUUGAUCAAUCCGGUAAUUGGGUAUCGAUCAACCCAGGCACUGGUUAUUCUACCAACUGCGGUGGUACAGAGGGGGAUCGCUUUGGCUUCCACAAAAACCAAAGGCUAACAACUUAGCACAAGAU
rnacentral:misc_RNA from 1 species